rnacentral:rRNA from 1 species
AACGAACGCUGGCGGCAGGCCUAACACAUGCAAGUCGAGCGAGGACUUCGGUCCUAGCGGCGGACGGGUGAGUAACGCGUGGGAACGUGCCCUUUGCUACGGAAUAGCCCCGGGAAACUGGGAGUAAUACCGUAUGUGCCCUUAGGGGGAAAGAUUUAUCGGCAAAGGAUCGGCCCGCGUUGGAUUAGGUAGUUGGUGGGGUAAUGGCCUACCAAGCCGACGAUCCAUAGCUGGUUUGAGAGGAUGAUCAGCCACACUGGGACUGAGACACGGCCCAGACUCCUACGGGAGGCAGCAGUGGGGAAUCUUAGACAAUGGGCGCAAGCCUGAUCUAGCCAUGCCGCGUGAGCGAUGAAGGCCUUAGGGUUGUAAAGCUCUUUCAGGGGGGAAGAUAAUGACUGUACCCCCAGAAGAAGCCCCGGCUAACUCCGUGCCAGCAGCCGCAGUAAAAC